CCUACGGGAGGCAGCAGUGAGGAAUAUUGGUCAAUGGACGAGAGUCUGAACCAGCCAAGUAGCGUGAAGGAUGAAUGCCCUAUGGGUUGUAAACUUCUUUUAUAAAGGAAUAAAACGAGGCACGUGUGCCUUUUUGCAUGUACCUUAUGAAUAAGGAUCGGCUAACUCCGUGCCCGCAGCCGCGGUAAUACGGAGGAUCCGAGCGGUAUCCGGAUUUAUUGGGUUUAAAGGGAGCGUAGAUGGGUUGUUAAGUCAGGUGUGAAAGUUUGCGGCUCAACCGUAAAAUUGCAAUUGAUACUGGCAGUCUUGAGUACAGUUGAGGUAGGCGGAAUUCGUGGUGUAGCGGUGAAAUGCUUAGAUAUCACGAAGAACCCCGAUUGCGAAGGCAGCUUACUAAACUGUGACUGACAUUGAUGCUCGAAAGUGUGGGUAUCAAACAGGAUUAGAUACCCUAGUAGUC
rnacentral:rRNA from 1 species